rnacentral:misc_RNA from 1 species
AACCAUAGAAACCUGCGGAGUACCUGCGGAAGGAUCAUCAAUGAAUUUUUUUUUCGUUGGUUCGCCUUGUCCAUUUUUUUGGGUGGGGCGGCCACGGAAAAAAAAACAAUCUCCGUCAACCUGUUGCAUUUGUAUGAAUGAUGUGGGUCGCUCCUUCAGACGGCCCACCGUUUUUACUAUUACACUUGAAAUUUUUCAAAAUCUUGAACUUUGAAAUAAAAAGAAACACAAAAUAUACAA